UUUUUGUUCGUUUUCACUUUCUAUUGGGCAAAGAACAUGAGCAGAGGACCUGUGGCUGAGAUCUGCCUGGGAGCCUGAUAGCAGGUGUGCUGGCUCCAACCACUUGCAGGAGCAAGUCUAGUCUCCCCUCCUAACAAAAGACGGGCUCUUUUAUACUGACGCUCUGCUCAGUCUUUAGAACACUCAGUUUUCCAGCAAGUGUCUGAUGUGAGAGCAGCCAAAGCAGGAGUGAAAUGAACAGGAGUGUUUCAAAUCCACACUCUAUGGGAAGACCCAUCCCUGUGCUCACAGUGGAGUAAUGGAGGGUGGGCUUUCCUGGGAUGAGAGGGAUGUGAUCAGAAAGAGAAGGAGGAAAAAGAAUGGAAUAUGAAAUUAGAAAUAGUAUUUCUGGACCGUGAAAACCAGUAGUCCACCCUUUCUAGGAUUCUGUUCCCUGGGGGGCUGAGGGUGCAGAAUAUUAACUCCCAAUCUCAGCCCACUGUCUUGGUGGCUACCCUUCAUCUAGUUCUGAGGCGGUCUCAUGUGGGCAGGAGACAGGAGGUCUGCUGCUCCUUUAUCCAGGUGGAAGGAAAGACAUCUUCCGUGCAAGUGCGUGUGCCAGAAGAUGGAGAAGUGGUGGAUGUUCCACGAAACAGCUUUUGUGCAGUCUCUGAGAACUUGGCUACAGAAACAUCGCCAGGAAGAAGCAGAACACGGGAGCAGAGAGGGAAAGAGUCCUCCUCACGUGCGUCACUUGCGGCACAGGCGAGCCUCUUCUGGUUCUUCAGAUGAGAAAACCAGGAUAUAAAUUAAGAAUAACAUACCUGUGAUGAUGCAGCUGUGAAGGCCGAGCUGGAUCUGAGGCUGCUGACUUUGCUCUCCCUUUCCUCCUGCCAUUCCAUACGCCAGGAAAGGUGAAGCCGUUGGCUGAGCAUAGGAGAAUUCAGGUCCUCUUCCAAAAGGCUAUGCUUUUCACAAAUUAAAACAAAAGUUAAGACUUAAGCACUUGGUUAUCAUGAUUCAUUUUUGUGUGUGUAGUAGCAAACUGUUUUUGACAGUACUG
rnacentral:lncRNA from 1 species